UUUAGCAUUAGGUUUAUUGGCUAAAAUACCAUUACCAACUGCGUGUAAUAAAUGAGUUUUACCUAAACCAGUGCCACCAUA
rnacentral:antisense_RNA from 1 species